rnacentral:rRNA from 2 species
CCUAUACUGCANGUCGAGCGAACUGAUUAGAAGUUUGCUUCUAUGACGUUAGCGGCGGACGGGUGAGUAACACGUGGGCAACCUGCCUGUAAGACUGGGAUAACUCCGGGAAACCGGAGCUAAUACCGGAUAACAUUUUCUCUUGCAUAAGAGAAAAUUGAAAGAUGGUUUCGGCUAUCACUUACAGAUGGGCCCGCGGUGCAUUAGCUAGUUGGUGAGGUAACGGCUCACCAAGGCAACGAUGCAUAGCCGACCUGAGAGGGUGAUCGGCCACACUGGGACUGAGACACGGCCCAGACUCCUACGGGAGGCAGCAGUAGGGAAUCUUCCGCAAUGGACGAAAGUCUGACGGAGCAACGCCGCGUGAGUGAUGAAGGCUUUCGGGUCGUAAAACUCUGUUGUUAGGGAAGAACAAGUACAAGAGUAACUGCUUGUACCUUGACGGUACCUAACCAGAAAGCCACGGCUAACUACGUGCCAGCAGCCGCGGUAAUACGUAGGUGGCAAGCGUUAUCCGGAAUUAUUGGGCGUAAAGCGCGCGCAGGCGGUUUCUUAAGUCUGAUGUGAAAGCCCACGGCUCAACCGUGGAGGGUCAUUGGAAACUGGGGAACUUGAGUGCAGAAGAGAAAAGCGGAAUUCCACGUGUAGCGGUGAAAUGCGUAGAGAUGUGGAGGAACACCAGUGGCGAAGGCGGCUUUUUGGUCUGUAACUGACGCUGAGGCGCGAAAGCGUGGGGAGCAAACAGGAUUAGAUACCCUGGUAGUCCACGCCGUAAACGAUGAGUGCUAAGUGUUAGAGGGUUUCCGCCCUUUAGUGCUGCAGCUAACGCAUUAAGCACUCCGCCUGGGGAGUACGGUCGCAAGACUGAAACUCAAAGGAAUUGACGGGGGGCCCGCACAAGCGGUGGAGCAUGUGGGUUAAUUCGAAGCAACGCGAAGAACCUUACCAGGUCUUGACAUCCUCUGACAACUCUAGAGAUAGAGCGUUCCCCUUCCGGGGACAGAAUGACAAGUGGGUGCAUGGUUGUCGUCACCUCCUGUCGUGAGAUGUUGGGUUAAGUCCCGCAACGAGCGCAACCCUUGAUCUUAGUUGCCACCAUUUAAUUUGGGCACCNUAAGG